CAGCAGCCGCGGUAAUACGUAGGUGGCAAGCGUUGUCCGGAAUUAUUGGGCGUAAAGGGCUCGCAGGCGGUUUCUUAAGUCUGAUGUGAAAGCCCCCGGCUCAACCGGGGAGGGUCAUUGGAAACUGGGAAACUUGAGUGCAGAAGAGGAGAGUGGAAUUCCACGUGUAGCGGUGAAAUGCGUAGAGAUGUGGAGGAACACCAGUGGCGAAGGCGACUCUCUGGUCUAUAACUGACGCUGAGGAGCGAAAGCGUGGGGAGCGAACAGGAUUAGAUACCCGCGUAGUCCCUGUCUCUUAUAU
rnacentral:rRNA from 1 species